AAUAUUUCACAAUGGAGGGAACUCUGAUGCAGCAACGCCGCGUGAGUGAAGAAGGUUUUCGGUUCGUAAAACUCUGUUAUUGGGGAAGAAUAAAUGACGGUACCCAAUGCGGAAGCCCCGGCUAACUCCGUGCCAGCAGCUGCGGUAAUACGUAGGGGGCGAGCGUUGUCCGGAAUUACUGGGCGUAAAGCGCGCGCAGGUGGCUUGUUAAGUCAGGUGUCAAAAUGCGGGGCUCAACCCCGUACCGCACUUGAAACUGGCAGGCUUGGGUGCAGGAGAGGGAAGUAGAAUUCCUAGUGUAGCGGUGAAAUGCGUAGAUAUUAGGAGGAACACCAGUGGCGAAGGCGACUUCCUGGACUGUAACUGACACUGAGGCGCGAAAGCUAGGGGAGCAAAC
rnacentral:rRNA from 1 species